GACAGAGGGUGCAAACGUUGUUCGGAAUUACUGGGCGUAAAGCGUGUGUAGGUGGCUGUGCAAGUCGGAUGUGAAAGCCCUGGGCUCAACUCAGGAAGUGCACCCGAUACUGCAUAGCUAGAGUACCGGAGAGGUUGGUAGAAUUCUCGGUGUAGAGGUGAAAUUCGUAGAUAUCGAGAGGAAUACCGGUGGUGUAAACGGCUUUCUGGACCAUAACUGACGCUGAGGCACGAAAGCGUGGGUAGCAAACAGG
rnacentral:rRNA from 1 species